CGUCGGGGCAACGCUCUUGCCACCCCGCCCCGCCCUGCGGCGCCCGGCCUCUGGACUCACCCACUAUGCGCCACGCCGCUGCUCCUGAGGCAGCUUCUCCUCCUGCUCCUGCUUUCGGGGCUCACAGCCACAAGUUUGCCUUGAGUCUUGGAGGAGACUUUGGACUUGAGCUAUGCAGGAACUGUUCAGUCUAUGAGAACUCUUGGAAAAAUACUAAAUACAUUGCACUAUUGGAGGAAAAGUGAAGCAGGGGAAAGUCUCGUUCAUUGGGAGGAAGAACUAAUUGAAGAGAGUCUGAACUGAAGGCAGCUUCUCCCACUGGGCAAAAGCAAAGAUGCUGUGUCCUGUGUGAUCCCAAUACCAAGAAGCAUUUUCUGCUCAAAGCAGCACAUCAGAAUUUUCCUGCAUAAUUAAAUCAUGCCCACUAUUGCCUAAACUACAAAAACAAGAGGGAAAACUUCAUGUAUCACAUGGUCUCACCAUAGCACCCAAAUAAACUACAAAACAUUUACAGAAAAUACAGAGUAAAGAGGGAAAAUUAAAAGCAAGGUAGGUGUAGUGUGAUAUUUACACCCCUCCUAUCUCAAUCUAGGUUUUCAUUGUAGCACAAAAAAGGCUAUCACUGUCCUUGAUAUUUGGGGCUCAGCUAGCCAUAUCAGUGGCAAACAUAAAGCUCCAUGAAAUGGAGUAUGUGAAGUAUGAGCUCAGGAUACAUUAAGUUAUUGCAGAGGAGCAUAGGUCCAUGGCUCACCCACUAAGCAUCUCAGGAGAGUGACAUGGGACAGCGUGACAGCCAUCUCUAGAAUGAGGGCCGUUGGAAUAGAAACUUUUCCGCACAUUUAAUGAACAUUUACAGGAUUUCUACUGUGAUACAACUACCCGACUUAAGUAUGAGGCAAAAUUAAACUGAGUUCCUGGUCCCUAAGGUGUCAUAUCAUUCAAGAGAAAACUACCACAACCAUAGUUCACUGUGACAAGUUAUAAAAUUCUAUGAAAA